rnacentral:rRNA from 1 species
UGGGGAAUAUUGGGCAAUGGGCGAAAGCCUGACCCAGCGACGCCGCGUGGGCGAUGAAGGCCUUCGGGUUGUAAAGCCCUUUCGUGUGGAAAGAACAGCCUUGCGGUUAAUACCCGCGAGGUUUGACGGUACCACAGGAAGAAGCACCGGCUAACUCCGUGCCAGCAGCCGCGGUAAUACGGAGGGUGCAAGCGUUGUUCGGAAUUAUUGGGCGUAAAGGGCGCGUAGGCGGUAGCGCAAGUCAGAUGUGAAAUCCUUCGGCUUAACUUGAGAACUGCAUUUGAUACU